AUUGAACGCUGGCGGCAGGCCUAACACAUGCAAGUCGAACGGUAACAGGAAGCAGCUUGCUGCUUUGCUGACGAGUGGCGGACGGGUGAGUAAUGUCUGGGAAACUGCCUGAUGGAGGGGGAUAACUACUGGAAACGGUAGCUAAUACCGCAUAACGUCGCAAGACCAAAGAGGGGGACCUUAGGGCCUCUUGCCAUCGGAUGUGCCCAGAUGGUAUUAGCUAGUAGGUGGGGUAACGGCUCACCUAGGCGACGAUCCCUAGCUGGUCUGAGAGGAUGACCAGCCACACUGGAACUGAGACACGGUCAAGACUACUAAGGGAGGCAGCAGAGGGGAAUAUUGCACAAUGGGCGCAAGCAUGAUGCAGCCAUGCCGAGUGUAUGAAGAAGGCCUUCGGGUUGUAAAGUACUUUCAGCGGGGAGGAAGGGAGUAAAGUUAAUACCUUUGCUCAUUGACGUUACCCGCAGAAGAAGCACCGGCUAACUCCGUG
rnacentral:rRNA from 1 species